rnacentral:rRNA from 1 species
AAAAAAAAGAGCUUUAUUAUAUAAAAGCCAAUGCAUGCUUUUACAGUAUGGAAAUUGGUGAUUUAUAAUAACUUGGCAAAUCGCAAAGUGAAAACAGGCGAUAAAUCAUUCAAGUUUCUGACCUAUCAGCUUUCGACGGUAUGGUAUUGGCUUACCGUGGCAGUGACGGUUAACGGGGGAUUAGGGUUCGAUUCCGGAGAGGGAGCCUGAGAAACGGCUACCACAUCUAAGGAAGGCAGCAGGCGCGCAAAUUACCCAAUUCUAACAGUUUGAGAGAGGUAGUAACAAGAAAUAACAAUACAAGGCAAUUAAAAUGCUUUGUAAUUGGAAUGAUAGAAAUUUAAACCCUUUUUAAAGUAUCAAUUGGAGGGCAAGUCUGGUGCCAGCAGCCGCGGUAAUUCCAGCUCCAAUAGCGUAUAUUAAAAUUGUUGCAGUUAAAAAGCUCGUAGUUGAAGUUCUGCUAAAAGUAACCGGUCUGCUUUUAAUAAAAGUGGUAUCUUGGUGUGUAUUUAGCAAUGAUGUCCUUUGAAGUGUUUUUUACUUUAUUGUAAUAAAGCAUAUUCAGGACUUUUACUUUGAGAAAAUUAGAGUGUUUCUAGCAGGCCGACGCUUUGAAUACUGCAGCUGGAUUUUAUUAGAAGAAGAAAAAAAAAACAGUCAGCCAAUA